CUACCCGGGUAUCUAAUCCCGUUUGCUCCCCUGGCUUUCGCGCCUCAGCGUCAGUAGGUGUCCAGCACGUCGCUUUCGCCACCGGCGUUCCUUCCGAUAUCUACGCAUUUCACCGCUCCACCGGAAGUUCCACAUGCCCCUGCACCCCUCGAGACCGCCAGUAUCCGCGGCACUUCCCCGGUUGAGCCGGGGGCUUUCACCACAGACUUGACGGCCCGCCUACGCGCCCUUUAAGCCCAGUGAAUCCGAACAACGUUCGCACGGUUCGUCUUACCGCGGCUGCUGGCAC
rnacentral:rRNA from 1 species